rnacentral:rRNA from 1 species
GACGCAGUAGGAUAGGCGAAGCGUGCUGUUGGAGUGCACGUCCAAGCAGUGAGAUUGAGUGUUAGGCAAAUCCGGCACUCUUAAGAUUGAGCUGUGAUGGGGAGAGGAACUUGUUCCUCGAGUCGUUGAUUUCACACUGCCGAGAAAAGCCUCUAGCUAGAAUAACGGUGCCCGUACCGCAAACCGACACAGGUAGUCAAGAUGAGAAUUCUAAGGUGAGCGAGCGAACUCUCGUUAAGGAACUCGGCAAAAUGACCCCGUAACUUCGGGAGAAGGGGUGCUCUUUGAGGUUCACGCUUCGAAGAGCCGCAGUGAAUAGGCCCAAGCGACUGUUUAUCAAAAACACAGGUCUCUGCUAAACCGUAAGGUGACGUAUAGGGGCUGACGCCUGCCCGGUGCUGGAAGGUUAAGAGGAGUGGUUAGCGCAAGCGAAGCUACGAAUCGAAGCCCCAGUAAACGGCGGCCGUAACUAUAACGGUCCUAAGGUAGCGAAAUUCCUUGUCGGGUAAGUUCCGACCCGCACGAAAGGCGUAACGAUUUGGGCACUGUCUCAACGAGAGACUCGGUGAAAUCAUAGUACCGGUGAAGAUGCCGGUUACCCGCGACAGGACGGAAAGACCCCGUGGAGCUUUACUGUAGCCUGAUAUUGAAAUUCGGUACAGUUUGUACAGGAUAGGUAGGAGCCUUAGAAGCGUGAGCGCUAGCUUACGUGGAGGCAUUGGUGGGAUACUACCCUAAUUGUAUUGGAUUUCUAACCCGCAGCACUUAUCGUGCUGGGAGACAGUGUCAGGCGGGCAGUUUGACUGGGGCGGUCGCCUCCUAAAGAGUAACGGAGGCGCUCAAAGGUUCCCUCAGAAUGGUUGGAAAUCAUUCAUAGAGUGUAAAGGCAUAAGGGAGCUUGACUGCGAGACCUACAAGUCGAGCAGGGUCGAAAGACGGACUUAGUGAUCCGGUGGUUCCGCAUGGAAGGGCCAUCGCUCAACGGAUAAAAGCUACCCCGGGGAUAACAGGCUUAUCUCCCCCAAGAGUUCACAUCGACGGGGAGGUUUGGCACCUCGAUGUCGGCUCAUCGCAUCCUGGGGCUGUAGUCGGUCCCAAGGGUUGGGCUGUUCGCCCAUUAAAGCGGUACGCGAGCUGGGUUCAGAACGUCGUGAGACAGUUCGGUCCCUAUCCGUCGUGGGCGUAGGAAAUUUGAGAGGAGCUGUCCUUAGUACGAGAGGACCGGGAUGGACAUACCUCUGGUGUACCAGUUGUCGUGCCAACGGCAUAGCUGGGUAGCUAUGUAUGGACGGGAUAAGUGCUGAAAGCAUCUAAGCAUGAAGCCCCCCUCGAGAUGAGAUUUCCCAACUUCGGUUAUAAGAUCCCUCAAAGAUGAUGAGGUGAAU